AUUGAACGCUGGCGGCAGGCCUAACACAUGCAAGUCGAGCGGAUGAAGGGAGCUUGCUCCUGGAUUCAGCGGCGGACGGGUGAGUAAUGCCUAGGAAUCUGCCUGUUAGUGGGGGAUAACGUCCGGAAACGGGCGCUAAUACCGCAUACGUCCUGAGGGAGAAAGUGGGGGAGCUUCGGACCUCACGCUAUCAGAUGAGCCUAGGUCGGAUUAGCUAGUUGGUGGGGUAAAGGCCUACCAAGGCGACGAUCCGUAACUGGUCUGAGAGGAUGAUCAGUCACACUGGAACUGAGACACGGUCCAGACUCCUACGGGAGGCAGCAGUGGGGAAUAUUGGACAAUGGGCGAAAGCCUGAUCCAGCCAUGCCGCGUGUGUGAAGAAGGUCUUCGGAUUGUAAAGCACUUUAAGUUGGGAGGAAGGGCAGUAAGUUAAUACCUUGCUGUUUUGACGUUACCAACAGAAUAAGCACCGGCUAACUUCGUG
rnacentral:rRNA from 1 species